rnacentral:lncRNA from 1 species
AGAAUGAUGCCCAAAGCUUGUCUCAACGGGUAUGUUGUGAUUGUUUCUUCUCUCAUGUAAAGUUCUGAAGCCUUUAUUUCACGAAGAAGCGAAAUAUGUCUUAUCAAGUUUCACUUUCUCCAGCUUAUUUCUCUUCCUAUUGAUGUGGAAUAGAAGCUGUACGAAGUGAAGGAAACUUAUUUUGAACUAUUUACAGCCUUUAAUAAUUCAG